rnacentral:rRNA from 1 species
CUACGGGGGGCAGCAGUGGGGAAUAUUGGACAAUGGGGGAAACCCUGAUCCAGCAAUGCCGCGUGUGUGAAGAAGGCCUGCGGGUUGUAAAGCACUUUCGGUUGGGAGGACUGCUUCUAGCACUAAUAUUGUUGGAAGUUGACGUUACCUUCAGAAGAAGCACCGGCUAACUCCGUGCCAGCAGCCGCGGUAAUACGGAGGGUGCAAGCGUUAAUCGGAAUUACUGGGCGUAAAGCGCGCGUAGGCGGCUAGAUCAGUCGGGUGUGAAAGCCCGGGCUUAACCUGGGAACUGCAUCCGAUACUGUCUAGCUUGAGUACAGGAGAGGAGAGUGGAAUUCCACAUGUAGCGGUGAAAUGCGUAGAUAUGUGGAGGAACACCAAUGGCGAAGGCAGCGCUCGGGCCUGAUACUGACGCUGGGGUGCGAAAGCGUGGGGAGCAAACAGGAUUAGAUACCCGUGUAGUC